GGACAAUUAAUACGUUUUUGAAAUUAAAAUUUGUGAAACAAAAAGUUAAUUAUGAAAUGCCUGUUACGUAUAAUUCAUAUCUUUUUUAAUUAGAAUUCUCGUAUACAUUUACAUUGCAUAUUCUCUGAUCAUUUCUACCCUUUGAAAUAAAAAUAUUCGAAAAAGUUAAUUAUACAGUGUCGCGUGCAAUUAAUAUCGUUCUCAUUAGAAUUAUCUCGUAAUUUUCUGCCAUAUUAUUCUUUAAUUAUUUCUACCUUUAGAAUUCAAAUAAAAAGUUAUUCAUAAAGUUUCUUUUUAUUUGCCGUUUUAUUAGCACGACUUCACAUUCCUGAUAAUUUAUUUAUUUAGAACGAGUCGAAUGUAAGAAAAUCAAUUUCUCAUCAGGAGUAUAUCAAGCGUAGUAGAGAAGUUCUCUAUAUAAAAUGUUUCACGGUUUAAAAAUAUUUUCCAACUCGACUCGCGUAAACAGAAUCCCUAGCGCCAUUAGUGUUUACAAACAGUGGAAUCAGCAAACGGUAAAACGAAGGUCGUUCUAAAAAUAUUCGACGAUCCAUGCGUCUCUAUGUAUUUAAUUAUCGACUGAUUUCCAUAUAUAGUUUCGCGUGACAACCGUAAGUCUAGUUAGCUAAGAUUUUUCGUAAACAAAAAUAUUUUUCCACUCUACAUUACGUAUCUUUUCUUCCCAGAAAACUUUACGUUAGUUUCUAAAACGCGUUUGAAAGAAAGAUCGUCAUAUUUCGACGUUUCGAAAAAUCAUUGAAACUUACAGUACAAUAUCUUCAACUUAUUAUUAUUCUAUGUUUUAGUUGGACGAGUGACCCAUGGAUCAUACCAGACUAGAUUCUCAAUAAUCUGUCGUUAUCUCGGAGAUCAUGGACCCUGUAACAUAACCUCUUUGUCUCGACAAAGCAAAACGUUCCUAGAAACUUGAUUUCAAUGAUAUUUAUGUUGGACGAGUGACCCAUGGACCACACCAGACUAGAUUCUCAAUAAUCUGUCGUUAUCUCGGAGAUCAUGGAGCCUGCAACAUAACCUCUUUGUCUCGACAAACCGAAACGAUGGCGAAAUUCCUAGAGGAGACUUUGCAAUUCAAAGGA